UACAGAGGCCUCGAGCGUUAGGCGGAAUCACUGGGCUUAAAGCGUGUGUAGGUGGAUGCCUAAGUACCUUGUGAAAUCCCACAGCUUAACUGUGGAAUUGCUUGGUAUACUGGGUGUCUUGAGCCACUCAGGGGCUACCGGAACAAGCGGUGGAGCGGUGAAAUGCGUAGAUAUCGCUUGGAACGCCAAAGGUGAAAACAGGUAGCUGGGGGUGUGCUGACACUGAGACACGAAAGCCAGGGGAGCAAACGGG
rnacentral:rRNA from 1 species